ensembl:lncRNA
CCGGGCUGAGCUGGGGCCUCCUGGGAGGAUGGAGCCUGCAGCCGCCUUGGCUGCUUGCCCUGUAUUGAUCAAAGCUGGGAGGCCUGCUGGCUGAGGUCUGUCCCAGCCCAUGGGGGCGGGGGAGUGGGAGGGGGACUCUGGCUGAGAUUCGAGCAGGGCUUGCCUGGGGCAGAGCAGUGCUGGCUAAAGACCCAUCUGCUGACAGCACCUCUUCCCCACACUUCUCAGGGGAGGCCGGAAUAGCCCCAGAAGGAUGGCUGGGCAGGAGGGUUGGGGGGCGGACAGAGGCAGGACUUAGGCAGUGAAGGCUCCUGGCCUCUCGCAAAGGUGCACAUUUGAUCUUACAUCACUGUUUAUGGGGAUCCUAUACGCGCCCUCUCUAAGGACCAAGGAGUGGACAUCUAUACAGAUUGGUCAAGCGCCGCUUGGGCAGACAGCACUGGGCAAGACCCAGGAGUGAGGUUCUUGGCUCCAGCUGCUAAGACGGCAGCGGGAAGACAGCCUGACCCGAGAGCCAGCCUUCUUAUCUGCGCCAGAGACCUCACGGUGUCCUGCCACGACCCGUACCCCCAUGGCCUCCAUCCGGGACUGCUGCACAGCUCUGUUCUGAGUCCCCGCCCUGCGAAGGAGGUGUGGAGCUGGAGGUACAGAGGGAGAAGGAGGAGGAAGCAAGAGAAGGGAGAGCGUGAAGAGCACUCAAUUGGGAUGGUCCCUGGGAAAACCCUGCAGGAGCCCUGUCUUAGGCCAAAGGCCUGGCAACUAGAGGACGGAUUUGUGAAAGUCAGCUCCAUCCAGACCUACCUUGUGACCUUGACCUUGGACAAGUCACUUCAUCUCUCCAAGACUCAAGCUCCUCGCCUGUAUACAAAUGGGGAUCUGUGGAACCCAUCUCACAGGAUUAUGGAGAAAAUGAAAUGGGAUAACCUACAUAAGUACUGUAACUAUGGCCAGGGCUCAGUAAAACCCAGCACGAUAGCUGUUCUGGGCAGCAAUAUGGGUUCCUACAGUUGGUUGGCUGGUGGAAGGCACCUCUGAGGAUGUGUGGGUUUGUUAAAGGAUGUAGUUGGAAAGGUCGCUUAGGGUCAAUGAAUGUUUGUUGAAUGAAGGAAUUCAUUCAACUUUCAACAAACAUUCCGUGAGGUCCCCCCUGCGCCAAGCCCGGGGACACCACUGUGAGGAAGUGAGGGACCACCCCCAGUCCUCAG